rnacentral:rRNA from 1 species
CGCGUAGGUGGUUUGUCAAGUCAUUUGUGAAAACUUUAGGCUUAACUUAAAGAUUGCAAGUGAUACUGGCAUACUUGAGCACAGCAGAGGAAAGUGGAAUUCCUGGUGUAGCGGUGAAAUGCGCAGAUAUCAGGAAGAACACCAGUGGCGAAGGCGGCUUUCUGGGCUGUUGCUGACACUGAGGCGCGAAAGCUAGGGGAGCGAACA